UUCCCGCUUUGAGGAGAAUGACCCUGGAGCUUCACCCUUAAGCACGAUGUUUGCUGGAGUUAAGAAGGCUUCUGUUUUUCUACUUCUUGUGUGCCACUUCUAAGACUCGCCCAGGCCGUGGUAUUCUGUGGAAGAGCCACACUCAAGGGGCCAAAGAGCCGCAUGUGGCUCGAGAGCCACAGUUUGCUGACCACGGGGUUAGGCUGUGGGCCCAUCAGAAGCCUGCCAAAGCGUGGGAAGUUGAUUGGUUAUUUUGAAAAAGUGUCUGUCUGGUUCUUCUCAAUCCCAAGCGGCCAUGUGGGACUAGCAGCCGAGCCCGGCAGCUGCGCAGACUCUGAACGCAGGCCCAGGCCGGGCAAACAAACUCAGCUAGCUGGAUGGUGAGAGAGGCUGGGCAUGGCACAAAAUCUGGGCCCAAUGAAGGCAAAGUUGGCCUUUUUCCGUGGUGAGACAGACAGAGAUGGGGCAUUGGAAACCCAGGGGGAACCCCUUGGAUUUUGCAUCUGGCACCACAAAUAAAUCUCAC